UUCACCUACGGGAGGCAGCAGUGAGGAAUAUUGGUCAAUGGGCGGGAGCCUGAACCAGCCAAGUCGCGUGAGGGAAGACGGUCCUACGGAUUGUAAACCUCUUUUGCCGGGGAGCAACGGGGUCCUUGCGAGGGCCCAAUGAGAGUACCCGGAGAAAAAGCAUCGGCUAACUCCGUGCCAGCAGCCGCGGUAAUACGGAGGUGGCGAGCGUUAUCCGGAAUGAUUGGGCGUAAAGGGUGCGCAGGCGGUC
rnacentral:rRNA from 1 species